CUUUUAGGCAAAUAGGAAGAGGCAGACAGCUUGCUCUUUCCCUCCCUCCCUUCCUUCCUUCCUCCCUCUCUUCCUCACUUCCCCCUCCCUUCCUCCCUCCCUUCCUCCCUUCCUUCCUUCCUCCCUUCCUUCCUCCCUUCCUUUCUCCCUUCCUCCCUUCCUCCCUCUCUCCCUCCUCCCUUCCUCCUUCCCUCCCUCUCUCCCUUCCUCCCUUCCUCCCUCUUUCUUUUCUUUCUUUCUGACAGAGUCAUGAAAGAAAGAGCCCAGGCUGGAGUGCAGUGGUAUGAUGAUAGCUCACUGUAGUCUCGACCUGCUGGGCUCAAGCGAUCCUCCCACCUCAGCCUCCCGAGUAGCUGGUACUGUAGGCACAUGCCACUAUGCCUGGCUAAUUUUUGUAUUUUUUUGUAGAGACAGGGUUUUGCCAUGUUGCUUAGGCUGGUCUUGAACUCCCGGGCUUGUGAUCCACCAAUCUUGGCCUCCCAAAGUGCCGGAAUUACAGGUAUGGGAGAGAUAUUCUUACAUCUACUUUUUCUCAUUUGCUUCAGCUCAAAAUCUUAUGCUAAACUGGCAAAUUUGAGGGUUGCUUAUUUUGCUUCCCUCUAAACUUAAGCUGGAGCAAACCUCUCCUGGAUGCACAUCUCUGGAAGCCCCAGGUUCUGAAUGGCAGCUGGAUCUCAGCACGUGACAGUCACAUGAUUUCUGCAGUGAGCCCCAAAGCUUCCACGAGCUUUCCUGGAACCUACGGCCAGAAGAGUCCUGAGAUUUCGAAUAUUAAAGCUUUCUCC
rnacentral:lncRNA from 1 species